rnacentral:rRNA from 1 species
GACUUUGAUUCUGGCUCAGGACGAACGCUGGCGGCGUGCUUAACACAUGCAAGUCGAACGGAGUGCUCCUGAUUGAGGUUUCGGCCAAAUGAAGGAGUUACUUAGUGGCGGACUGGUGAGUAACGCGUGAGGAACCUGCCUUUCAGAGGGGGACAACAGUUGGAAACGACUGCUAAUACCGCAUGACGCAUGACUGGGGCAUCCCGGACAUGCCAAAGAUUUUAUCGCUGAAAGAUGGCCUCGCGUCUGAUUAGAUAGUUGGCGGGGUAACGGCCCACCAAGUCGACGAUCAGUAGCCGGACUGAGAGGUUGACCGGCCACAUUGGGACUGAGAUACGGCCCAGACUCCUACGGGAGGCAGCAGUGGGGAAUAUUGGGCAAUGGACGCAAGUCUGACCCAGCAACGCCGCGUGAAGGAAGAAGGCUUUCGGGUUGUAAACUUCUUUUGUCAGGGAAGAGCAGAAGACGGUACCUGACGAAUAAGCCACGGCUAACUACGUGCCAGCAGCCGCGGUAAUACGUAGGUGGCAAGCGUUGUCCGGAUUUACUGGGUGUAAAGGGCGUGCAGCCGGAGAGAUAAGUCAGAUGUGAAAUCCGCGGGCUCAACCCGCGAACUGCAUUUGAAACUGUUUCCCUUGAGUAUCGGAGAGGUAAUCGGAAUUCCUAGUGUAGCGGUGAAAUGCGUAGAUAUUAGGAAGAACACCAGUGGCGAAGGCGGAUUACUGGACGACAACUGACGGUGAGGCGCGAAAGCGUGGGGAGCAAACAGGAUUAGAUACCCUGGUAGUCCACGCUGUAAACGAUCAAUACUAGGUGUGCGGGGACUGACCCCCUGCGUGCCGCAGUUAACACAAUAAGUAUUGCACCUGGGGAGUACGAUCGCAAGGUUGCAACUCAAAUGAAUUGACGG